rnacentral:rRNA from 1 species
AGUGAACGCUGGCGGUAGGCCUAACACAUGCAAGUCGAACGGCAGCACAGUAAGAGCUUGCUCUUACGGGUGGCGAGUGGCGGACGGGUGAGGAAUACAUCGGAAUCUACUUUUUCGUGGGGGAUAACGUGGGGAAACUUACGCUAAUACCGCAUACGACCUACGGGUGAAAGCAGGGGAUCUUCGGACCUUGCGCGAUUGAAUGAGCCGAUGUCGGAUUAGCUAGUUGGCGGGGUAAAGGCCCACCAAGGCGACGAUCCGUAGCUGGCCUGAGAGGAUGAUCAGCCACACUGGAACUGAGACACGGUCCAGACUCCUACGGGAGGCAGCAGUGGGGAAUAUUGGACAAAGGGCGCAAGCCUGAUCCAGCCAUACCGCGUGGGUGAAGAAGGCCUUCGGGUUGUAAAGCCCUUUUGUUGGGAAAGAAAAGCAGCAGGUUAAUACCCCGCUGUUCUGACGGUACCCAAAGAAUAAGCACCGGCUAACUUCGUG